GGAUGUGAGGAUGAUCUGGCUGCAACGUCUGUCACCUCGUUGAUCACUAGGGUUGAUUUGUGUGAUCUGCCUGGCUAGGUGGUUGUUCCCUUCCUUUCUCUUCGUUACAUGUGCAUCCCUUGAGAAGCUGCAUGCUUGGUCAAGGAGGAUGACCCUCCUGGAUAGAGGAAGACCAUUCUUCUGUCAAGGGUUUAAUAGUAGCUGUACACCCCUACUGGAAUCUCCAAACAAGCUCUCAAGGUCCAUUUGUAGGAGAAUGUAGGGUAGUCAAGCUUCUAAGACUCCAGACACAUCCCAAUGAGAUGCUGCAUGUGGCAGUCUGCCUUUCUUU
ensembl:misc_RNA 7SK 7SK RNA